AAAUAGUGACAUACUGAGCUCUUGUGGAUGGGCAACAACUCCAGGAGCUGAAAAAACAAGCUGUGGAACAGAGGUAACUUGUCCCUGAACACGUGAAGAGCUGAAGACAAAGCUGGGAAUGGGACUCAGAUGUCCAGCGUGAGCAGCUUGCGAUGACUGUCUGGGAAGGCACCUUGUGGCAAAAAGUUCUGAAACCCAGGAGGAAGGGAAGGGGCUUGAAAACCUUGCGUCUGAGCAGGGACAAGGAUGUGUCUGUUGGCAAAGAAUAUACAGCAGCCCAGUGCACUGUUAGUGAUGGAACUCUGCAGUACAAUGAUUUGAUGAGGCCAUGAUCUUGGAAAGAUACAAAAAGAGAUGGGCUGUUUCAGGCGAAUCAUGAAGAAAUCCUGAAAUAUAAAGGUACAGUCAAGUCUGGGAUGGGAUUUGCUCUGUAGGGGAGCCAGCUGGAAGCUGCCAGUGCUUGGGAGGAAGUUGCAUGAAAAUCUUGUUACUUGUACCUUGUUAUAUAAUUACCUCUUGCAGAGUGGAGUUUUUUUUCUGAAUUACAAUCACUGUUGGAGACAGGUUAUGUGCUUAGAGAGACCACUGGCUGGAUAGCCUGGUAUUUCCUGCAUUCUUACUUCCACGGAUCCUCUAAUAGCCCUGCUGCCCGGCUUUGUCCUGCUAUUGUGUCUCACUGUGAGGAUGGUCUAUGUCUGAGAUUGUUGGGGGAUUUCUGCAGGCAGCUUCUAGUGGUAUUUUCUGAGCCCCCCGAUAUGCUCCUCACACUACUGUAGCAUUUUCUAAAUUCCCUGGGGGCUGAGGGUCAUCUCUCACUUUAUGUAGGAUAAAUUGAUAAUGACACAAUGAAAUCAGUCGUGAUGAAAUAGCUCCAAUUUUAUUACAAUGAAAGGGGAUUUUGGAUCUGUGUUUCUGUUGUGUUGUGUCUGGAGCUGUGCUUACAACACAGUGGCUUUUUGCCAGAGAUUUCCAAUUCUGAGGUCUCCUGUCCCAUCCCAUCAGCUUGUAGCUAGAUUUAGCAAACUGUUUUCAGAGGUUUUCUGUGUGUUUCCAGAGAAGUUUUUCCUGUUACAUCUUGUAGCAGCCUGUCUGUUCGCUGUGGCUAGAUUUUUGUGGGGCCACAACUGUUGCGUUAGACAAUGAGGGAAGUGAUAGAUCAUCUAGUGAAGACUAGAUGAUCUGCCAUGGCUGGAAUUUGCUCCUCACCCACCUGUCAAAGCAAGAGGAGAAGUAGUUUGGGAGGCAUCACUAGUUUAUGGCUGUUUACUUGUGGCUGCUAUUUCUCUCUUUUGUUGUACUACUGCAUUGGACUAAGGACUAGUUUCGAGUAGCUUUCUUACUCCCUUGAAAAAAUGCUAUAUGUCCCUUGAAAUCUGGGGAAAUCUGGCCUGAGCGUCCUUUGAACCUGACCCUCUGCUCUCAGCUCAUUUCUGCUGCUUGGUAUCUUGCGUGUGCUGCAGUGUGGAGUAGAACACCGAAGUAUUCAGACAGGAUAAAUCAACGGGUGUCUGCUGAUUUACACCACUGGAAGGUUGGGCCCAGGUCAGAUAGAGAGCAGAGAACCCUCCAACAGAAUCUCUUUAAAUGAAAGCACAGGUGGGUAUUUCAGCCCAGUUAGCUGGGCAUUCAGUUAUGGCUUUUGCUACAGAGUAAAACCAGUUUUUCCAAAGGACAUCGGUAGCAAUCUCUUAAAAAAGGAGUUGUGGCCCCUCCCCAGUGACCUUUCCUUGUCAAAUGCUACAUGCUGUGAUGUUCCUACACAAUAGAGAACACUCUGCUCUCUGUGUACUUGGCAAAGGAAGAAAUGGCUUUUUUAAUCUCAUUGCAUGAAUUAUUGGCAAAACGUUUGAAGUGACUCCAAGAUUCCUCUCUGACUGACUUGCAUUUUCUCAGGAGAUUUGUGUAGUUUGGGAGUUUGGAACCUGUAACUGAAUAACUUGGAGAAAGCAUUUACUACAUUUUGAAAGGAUGCUGUGUCCUUGCAGAAAAAACACUUCAUCUGCUGCAUCAGUGUCCCUUCGCAGAGGACAAGCCUUCCUGGGUGUGACGUACUGUGUCCCCCCAGAGGAUACCCACCCCUUCUGCUGCCCCUCCUGGUCCUCAGCGCAGGUAUUGCCCGAGGCAGUGCUUCCUGUGGACACUGCCCUCAGCAUUGCCCUCAGCCAGCCAUGAGCGCAGGAGCAGAGCUCUGCCCUGCCAGGCCUUGGACAAACAUAAGCGUGUGCCAACGCUUGCCCUGAAUAAUCUAUAGAGACCGGGCAUGGAAACACAGGCAGCAGCGUGGAGUCAUGUAUCAAGGAAGUGCCAGAACUGGGAUUAAGACCUGUGCUCCUGUUGCUGCAGUCUUGUCAGCCCUGAGGUACAGGGAGGGACAGCUCACGUUGGUAGCCAGCCCUUUUUUCUUUGUUUACUCCUUCCCUGGACUCACUAACGUGGCUCUGCCAUGGGCCAGGUAUUGCUCCAGGAAUCCAGUGCAGACCACAUCCAUCCCUUUUGCUGGAGCAUCCCUCUGACUUGCUGCUGACCAUGGUGAGCGAAGGCUUGUCACAUCACAGGGAUGGCCACCUCCCCUCCUUCAGUGCUAGGCUUCUUUUUGCAAGAUCAAAGUGGAGGGAGUGUGCCAGAACCUGCCAAACUGCUGCUGGGGAGACUGACAGGGAGUGACGGAGCCUGAAACUGUCUGGCAGAUUGUUUGUUUAAUGGGGGAAAAUGUUUUCCUGACACUGUAGAGCACUUUGAAUCACAAACGAUGUCAAUAACAUACAUUCACCUGUUCCUAGCACAGAGUUCUCCCUCCUACGCCAUCCCUUUAGCAGGAUACUCCAUUAGUGCCCAGGCUGCCACCAGGCAAAUGCCACGAGCGUGUGGCUGAUUUUCCAGUCAGGGCCGGCAGCAUGGGAGUGACCAUGCCACAGGAGCAGUGAUCCCUGCAGAGUCUCCAGUGCAGCAGCUCUGGGAGAAGAGGAGAGGGGAUCACAAUGGCUUCAUUCUUCACCAUGUUCCCCCCGGCCCCUUCAGCCUGCCCCAGUGGCCAGCACGAUCUCAAAGUCCUCCCUUUAACUUUGAUUCCCUGGGCCUGCAAAGUGGAAAAUGAAUUGGAUCUGAGCCAUGUGCUACCCUGCUGUCACCUGGUGUCAUUUUUAUUUUUCAGGCUGAAAUGGUCCCAGAAUAUUGGCAGCUCUGAAAUCGUAAGGAUAUCUAAUCGGAUGAUUUAUGCUGGGAGGGAUUUGAUCAGGAGCCAGGAAUCAGUAGUCAUUCUUCUCCUCCCUAGCCAGGGAAGGAGCUCCCACUUUUGGUGGGGGUUACGGGGUGUCAUUUGUUUUUUGCACCUUUUUGUGGUAGUCCCCUCCUUGCCCCCGUGCUGACCACCACAGAGCUGCCCGCUCAGCUCCCUGCCUCCCCAAGCCAGUAAAUAAUUACCUCCCCCUUCCCCUCUCUGGAAUGCGUACAUAAACAGCACAGCCUACCUAUGGCUACUUGGCUUGCUGUUAAGUCCUAAAUAAAGCUAAAAAAGGAUUAAUAGCCCUUUGUGAUACAACAUUAAAAAAAAAAAGAAUUAGAAGGCAGUUUGUCUUGCACUCCGUCACCUUCGGACCCAACAAGCGAGCGUGUGGAGUGGUUGCCGCUCUAAACUGCACCCACGGUGCACGCUACAGUAACCCAGAAUGUGUAUUUCUGCAGAUGAUUAAAUCAAUACAAUUUUGACAAGACUUGUUGGAACAUGCUUCUUUAUUUUACGCAAUUCCUUCCCCUUCGUCGGGGGCAUUUAUCACCCUGCCUGCCUGUCAGCUAAUGGAGAUUGUUCUUAGUCCAUACUUGAUAGAAGGACGUGGUUAUGAAGCAUGCCAAUACUUUGGCUCAGCCACUGCGGUGGGAACAAAGAUCUGAGCUGGGGGCUGGAGGCCUUUAACCAGGGGGGAUGUUUUCCUGCCUGAGGAACUACAAUAAUAAUAAUAAUUCUUUAAAACCCCCGUUCUCCUCUCCCUCCCUCCUCUGGCUACAUAUUUCCAGGACUGUUGGUGUGGGAGGGAGACCAGUCUAUGGGGAGUUGUGGAGGGAAGGGGGCACUGUGGGAAGCGACCGUGUUUCUUCUUGUUAUUUACAGGGGGUUGCUGCCCCACAGCCCCUCCAGUUGUGGGUGCUGGGGGAUGUGUGUGGGCUGAGAGCCCUUCCUGAUCUCCUUCCCAGAUGGGUGAGCAUCGUGGUCCUGUAGGGCUGCACUGGAUUCCCAGGCUCUCUC